rnacentral:RNase_P_RNA from 1 species
GAGAGUGAGGGAAGGUAGUUGCGGAGGAGGUGAAAGCCGACUCUGAGGAAAGUCCGGGCUCCCGAAAGACCAGACUUGCUGGAUAACGCCCAGUGCGAGCGAUCGUGAGGAUAGUGCCACAGAAAGAUACCGCCAAUUAGUCAUUUGUCAAUAGUCAUUUGUCAAGAAAACAAAGGAAUAUUGACCUAGAACCAAGGACAAAAAUUGGUAAGGGUGCAAAGGUGCGGUAAGAGCGCACCAGCAGCAUCGAGAGGUGCUGGCUCGGUAAACCCCGGUGGGGAGCAAGGUCGUAGGAACUAAGGUUGGUCUUUUACCAGUUCCGCUCAAAAGAACCGCUAGAGGCGUCUGGUAACAGGCGUCCCAGAUAGAUAACUGCCCUCUUAGCUGGUAACGGCUAGGAGAACAGAACCCGGCUUAUGACUGACUCUCUCCU